rnacentral:rRNA from 1 species
GACAGAGGGUGCAAACGUUGUUCGGAAUUACUGGGCGUAAAGCGCGUGUAGGCUGCUUCGAAAGUCGGGUGUGAAAGCCCCGGGCUCAACCUGGGAAGUGCACUCGAAACUUCGGAGCUCGAGUCCUGGAGAGGAAGGCGGAAUUCUCGGUGUAGAGGUGAAAUUCGUAGAUAUCGAGAGGAACACCGGUGGCGAAGGCGGCCGUCUGGACAGUGACUGACGCUGAGACGCGAAAGCGUGGGGAGCAAACAGG